rnacentral:lncRNA from 1 species
AGAACACCUACCUUGUGUUUAUAAGUAGGCUAAAAGGUUAAACAACUCUUUCAUAUAAUUAAUUUCACAGAUGAGCAACAUUUUUCACCAUUUUCACUUCUAUUACUAUUUUCUGUUUUUUUUUCUUUUUCUUUUUUUGCUGUCUUUAACACUGUGUUUACAUAUCUCUGACAGGUGUACAAAACAACCUGAAUGAAAUGGGAUUACCCGAAAUCAAUCAUGUGCGAUACUAAAGUACUUCCUAUUAAAUAUUAAUCACUCCAUAAAUUCUCUCCCAGCUCCCGCACGAACAUCAGCCUGCUGCAGAAACGGGCACGCUACAACAGUUUCCUUGCCGGCAUCCCGAGCCGACUGUAAUAAAAACGACAUCAAAAAAGACGCAAUUAUGUAACGGACCUUGCUAAACGCCUCGUUUCCCAGAGGGACGGAGGAGAGCGGGGCUGCUCGUGUCCCUGUCCCCACACUCCCACCUCAGCACACGGAGAGCAGCGGCCAGAGGGGCCGGGGCUCCCCCAGGGAGCGCUUUAAACCCUCCCGGGCGGCUGCCGCUGCUGUCACCGCCUCUCUCGGCCGCUAAACGCCCACACCUGAGCCUUGGUACCUCCGCGGGCCGCUGGCUCAGCGCUAAGCACCCACUGGGCUCCCCGGCGCCUCGGGAGCGCCGGCUGAGGAAGGACGCGGGACAAACCUGGCCGCAACAACAGGCGACAAGUAGUUGUGCAGCCCGUCCGGCGCCCGGGGGCCCUGGGGGUACGGACCCCGCACCCCGCGGGUCCCGGCAGCGCUGCCUGCCCUCGCCUCACUCCUUCUCCGGGACCAGGCGGGGGAUCGCCCCUAUCGACUCUACCCCCGGCGGCUGCCAAAAUCCCCGCCGAAGGGGUAGUGGGAUAGAAGCCCCACGACUCGAGGCCAGCUAGAAAUUACUCUGUUGAAUGAUGCAGCAAACGGUGGACUGGGGGGGAAUCGGUGUAGGGCUGGUGCUCCGUUGCCACUCGCCAGUGCUAAUUAAUAACGCACGGGUUCCCUGCCGAAGCGAAAAGAGCUCUCUCCCCUCCGCGCACCCGGCGAUUAAUAGCAACCUUCAUCCCGCGCAACCUUUCGCUCGGCACUCCCCCACACUCACAGGCUGAGGUGGCAAGCACUCAGGAGCACGGCAGCGGCAACCUCUGCCUCACAGUCCGGGG